AUCUUUUUCAUAUAAUUUGGUGCGUUGAUCAAACGUACUACUUCAAUUGGAGCAUCGUCGACAACCUCAUCAAAAAGGUCUCCCGUGAUCGUUUCAUCAGAAGAACUGUUAAGAGUCAACUCCAAGGGCCCAAUAGAUUCAUACGGGUUAUAGAAAGGGGUAUUUCAUGGA